rfam:Chlorobi bacterium OLB7 TZ07_CHB004CONTIG000157, whole genome shotgun sequence.
GGGGAUGCACUGGUUUCGACGGGGGGAAGAUUGCUUGCGGUUGCGCUGUCGCGCUCUGCUAAUGUGGCGCGUUAUCCCAACAUCAGCAAACGUAACUGCGGACUCCUACGAGUACCGUCUUGCAGCCUAAGUAGGAACUUAGUGCAGCAAGCAUCCGGCCAAGGCCUGCCUGUGGCGUUGGAUUUCGGGUGUCGCAAUACAGGAUAGCGGUUGAUGCUCGGCAAGCGGCAUCGGUCGCGAGAACUUUGCCUGCUGGCCGCCGGAUAACCCUGUCAAUCGGGAUGCCGGCGGUAAGAUUCAAAGAUUGACUAUGCAGCGUAGUGGCUUCAGGGGUCUCCUUUCGGACGCGGGUUCGAUUCCCGCCAUCUCCACAA